GCCAUUGUGGCACAGAGGUUUGAGUGUUGAGCUACGACUCCAGAGACCAGGGUUCGAUUUCCCGCUUGGCC